UUGAAAUUAUUAAUACUUUGAAGUAUUAUUAUUAUGCAAUGGUCUCCUGAGUUGUCGGGUCGUCUUGCCAGUAGUUGCACUACCAUGCAAAGAGGCUUGCACCUGAAGCAGCUCCGCGGCGCUCCAACCGUCGAGAUAUGCGCCGUGUGCGAUAAGUCCUGUGCAAGCAAAGGAGCCUUAGCUAGGCACAAGCUCCGCUACCACGCUUCCUUGUCCCCCUACAGCGAGGACAAGUUUCACCCUUGCCUGAUAUGCGAGGGCUCCUUUAGGCAGAACCCAACAACGUGAAAGCGAAUAUGAACAUUAUAGUUCUUACAGUGGAAGGAAGAAGAGGAAUCUGCCGCAGGGACCCACUUUGUGAAGCCACGCGGCUCAAAUAGUCAUGGCGGUUCAACGUAUGCCUGCAACAGAAGUGGCACCUCCAGAUGCAAGAAAACAGAACCUGUGACGUCUUCAGCAAAGCUUGACACAGCGUCCAUAGCCCGCAUGUAUUCGCAAGGCCAGGCUAACAGAAACACAAAUGCGAGGUAUAUUGCAACGCAGUAACAACGGAUGGUGUGGAAAGUUGCUGGUGUGAAGUCGCUUGCAAACCCCGCAGUUGUCUUGUUGGAACUAUCUACCGCCCUCCAUCUGAACCUGUAAUUUGCAGUCUAAAGAGGAAGAGGUCCGACAUUUGGCAGCAUAUAUUUCAGCAGCAACGGCAUUCCCCAGUAUUUGUCUCAAUCAGCUGGGCGGUGACAGCACUCAUGGGGACAACCCAGUCCACAGAGUGUUCUGGAAGCUUGCCAGAGCCCGAUCGAAUGCACUCCUGAAAGGUUCUCGAAUUGUACAAGCCGAACGCCAACCUCCUACAGUACUCCUCAUGCAUGACAUUGUGAUGGACUAGUUGACAAUUCAAUAGUUUAAUAGUUGACAAUAGUUGUACAAUUCGUUUUCGCAAAGCUUCCCCCUUCUCAGGCUUCUGUACUUAUCUUUUGAUAUUUCUGAGCCACCCAAGUUGGGUGGUGUGCUGCUGUGCUGCUUCGAAUUGUAGUUAGACCGCUUUGUCAAGUAUCCUACUGGUCUCGUCAUCGUCCAGUAACAAUCGACAUUCUUUGUUCCGUUGGGACUGUAGCUUGUGCUCAUUUUCGUUCCGCUUACUAGUAACCUUCCCCGCUUUGGUCUCUCCAUAAUAGGAAUUGGCGGAUAUUGCUUGAAACGGUGGCAGAUUCUGCUCGAAAAGCAGUGAAAUUGGCAGAACCAUACAAACCUUAUGGCGGGCAAUUCCUCGAAUUCUGCUCCAUUUCUUUAUCCACAUACCAAACAUGACAUGAAACCUACCCGAAAAAGUACCAAAUUAUGCCAAUUUUUCUGCCGCCAUUAUCGCAUAUGCCUACUCCAUAACCUUGAGCCUUCCGAGUCGGAAGGCUGUCGGUUAGCGCUAAGGAGAUGCGUUGAAGCUAGGUGUCAAGACGUCGAAUAUCUCAGUACUCUGUCAAUGUUGUGCCUAGUUGUUGCACUUUCUGACUGUAUAUAAUGGAUUCUGCCAGCAGAAAGAUUGGCAGAAUUCGGUACUUUUUCGGGUAAGUUUCAUGCAUGUUUGGUAUGUGGAUAAAGAAAUGGAGCAGAAUUCAAGUAAUUGCCCGCCAUAAGGUUUGUAUGGUUCUGCCAAUUUCACUGCUUUUCGAGCAGAAUCUGCCGGUCCCUACUUGUAGUAAGGUCACUGUUUCCGAACACAGUGUCCUCCACCUUGUUUCAUGCUGUCAAACUAACAACAUGUACAUGUACAUGACUUGUACUAGUAGGUCUACAAACCAGGCAGACGCUAUCUGGCAACACACACACCCUCUUCUAAUGAUUCUCAUGCGCCGCAACAGUAGCGAGAGUUUGUGGGAAUCCGGAGAGAAUAGUGUGUUGGUCGGCUCAAAUUGUCAAAUGUUCAAAAUGCUGCUGAACCUUUCAAAUUAUUCAUUAUUUCAAUUUUGUUGGGCCUCUGGUGUGAA